GGGUUUUUGCCGAUUUUCAAAUAAAACUCAGAGAUUCCUUGUAUGACUCUCUCAAAUCUCUCUUUUGUGGUAUUUCUGGAUCCUUACCAAGGCAGUGAUGGUAUAUGCCUUCUCUCAAAGAUAUGUAGUAUUUGUAGUAUAAGGCAUAGUGACAUUGCCUUCUCUCUUACCCUACUCUAAUAAGGCUUUAAUAUCUGGAGCUCAUAGGUGGGAGAUAAAGUAUACAUACUUACAAGGCAUGUAUUGUAUAGUCAAACCAUGGAUCCAAAGAAACAAAUCAAUAAGUCAAAUCAAGAUGUGCAUGUGUGGC
rnacentral:lncRNA from 1 species